rnacentral:rRNA from 1 species
UACGUAGGGUGCAAGCGUUGUCCGGAAUUAUUGGGCGUAAAGAGCUUGUAGGCGGUUUGUCGCGUCUGCUGUGAAAUUUCGGGGCUCAACCCCGAACUUGCAGUGGGUACGGGCAGACUAGAGUGUGGUAGGGGAGACUGGAAUUCCUGGUGUAGCGGUGAAAUGCGCAGAUAUCAGGAAGAACACCCGUGCGGAAGGCGGCUCUCGUGGACGGUACUGACGAGAGAGAAGCGUGGGGGAGCGA